rnacentral:rRNA from 1 species
GACGAACGCUGGCGGCGUGCCUAAUACAUGCCAGUCGAACGCUUCUUUCCUCCCGAGUGCUUGCACUCAAUUGGAAAGAGGAGGGGCGGACGGGUGAGUAACACGUCGGUAACCUACCCAUCAUAGGGGGAAAACACUUGGAAACAGGUUCUAAUACCGCAUAACAGUUUAUGCCGCAUGGCAUAAGAGUGAAAGGCGCUUUCGUGUGUCGCUGAUGGCUGGACCCGCGGUGCAUUGGCUAGUUGGUGAGGUAACGGCUCACCAAGGCCACGAUGCAUAGCCGAAGUGAGAGGGUGAUCGGCCACACGGGGACUGAGACAGGGACAAGACGACUGAGGGAGGGAGCAGUAGGGAAUCUGCGGCAAUAGACGAAAGUAUGGCCGAGCAACGCCGCGUGAGUGAAGAAGGUUUUCGGAUCGUAAAACUCUGUUGUUAGAGAAGAACCAGGACGUCAGUAACCGAACGUCCCGUGACGGUAACUAACCAGAAAGCCACGGCUAACUACGUG